rnacentral:rRNA from 1 species
UACAGAGGCCUCGAGCGUUGUUCGGAAUUACUGGGCGUAAAGGGAAUGUAGGUGGUGACGUAAGUCAGAUGUGAAAGCCCUGGGCUUAACCUGGGAAGUGCAUUUGAUACUGCGUUGCUAGAGUACGAGAGAGGAAAGCGGAAUUCCAAGUGUAGGAGUGAAAUCCGUAGAUAUUUGGAGGAAUACCGAUGGCGAAGGCAGCUUUCUGGCUCGUAACUGACACUGAGAUUCGAAAGCGUGGGUAGCAAACAGG